UACGGAGGGUGCAAACGUUGCUCGGAAUCAUUGGGCGUAAAGCGCACGUAGGCGGUCAGCUAUGUCGGAUGUGAAAGCCUCGGGCUUAACCCGAGAAGGGCAUCCGAAACUGGCCGGCUUGAGUACGGAAGAGGGUCUCGGAAUUCCCGGUGUAGAGGUGAAAUUCGUAGAUAUCGGGAGGAACACCAGUGGCGAAGGCGGAGACCUGGGCCGAUACUGACGCUGAGGUGCGAAAGCGUGGGGAGCAAACAGG
rnacentral:rRNA from 1 species